GUCUAUGGCCAUGCCACCCUGAACAAGCCCGAUAUCUGAUCUCAGAAGCUAAGCAGGGUCCAGCCUGGUUAAUACAGGGUCCAGCCUGGGAGACCACCUAGGAGACCAGGUGCUGUAGGCA
ensembl:rRNA 5S_rRNA 5S ribosomal RNA